GAUGAACGCUAGCUCCAGGCUUAACACAUGCAAGUCGAGGGACCGGCGCACGGGUGAGUAACACGUAUCCAACCUGCCCUUUACUCGGGGAUAGCCUUUCGAAAGAAAGAUUAAUACCCGAUAUAAAGGAUGGGGAUGCGUUCCAUUAGGUUGUUGGUGGGGAAAUGGCUCACCAAGCCUUCGAUGGAUAGGGGUGCUGAGAGGAAGGUCCCACACAGUGGAAUGGAUACACGGUCCAAACUCCUACGGGAGGCAGGAGUGAGGAAUAUUGGUCAAUGGGCGCUAGCCUGAUCCAGCCAAGUAGCGUGAAGGAUGAAGGCUUAUGGGUCGUAAACUUUUUUUAUAUAAGAAUAUGUAUUAUAUGAAUAAGGAUCGGCUAACUCCGUGCCAGCAGCCGCGGUAAUUC
rnacentral:rRNA from 1 species